rnacentral:rRNA from 1 species
AGUGAACGCUGGCGGUAGGCCUAACACAUGCAAGUCGAACGGCAGCUCAGUAAGAGCUUGCUCUUACGGGUGGCGAGUGGCGGACGGGCGAGGAAUACAUCGGAAUCUACUUUUUCGUGGGGGAUAACGUAGGGAAACUUACGCUAAUACCGCAUACGACCUACGGGUGAAAGCAGGGGAUCUUCGGACCUUGCGCGAUUGAAUGAGCCGAUGUCGGAUUAGCUAGUUGGCGGGGUAAAGGCCCACCAAGGCGACGAUCCGUAGCUGGUCUGAGAGGAUGAUCAGCCACACUGGAACUGAGACACGGUCCAGACUCCUACGGGAGGCAGCAGUGGGGAAUAUUGGACAAUGGGCGCAAGCCUGAUCCAGCCAUACCGCGUGGGUGAAGAAGGCCUUCGGGUUGUAAAGCCCUUUUGUUGGGAAAGAAAUCCAGCCGGCUAAUACCUGGUUGGGAUGACGGUACCCAAAGAAUAAGCACCGGCUAACUUCGUGCCAGCCGCCGCCGUAACAC